rnacentral:rRNA from 1 species
AAUACCGGAUAUGACCGUCUUGGGCAUCCUUGACGGUGUAAAGCUCCGGCGGUGCAGGAUGAGCCCGCGGCCUAUCAGCUUGUUGGUGAGGUAAUGGCUCACCAAGGCGACGACGGGUAGCCGGCCUGAGAGGGCGACCGGCCACACUGGGACUGAGACACGGCCCAGACUCCUACGGGAGGCAGCAGUGGGGAAUAUUGCACAAUGGGCGAAAGCCUGAUGCAGCGACGCCGCGUGAGGGAUGACGGCCUUCGGGUUGUAAACCUCUUUCAGCAGGGAAGAAGCGAAAGUGACGGUACCUGCAGAAGAAGCGCCGGCUAACUACGUGCCAGCAGCCGCGGUAAUACGUAGGGCGCAAGCGUUGUCCGGAAUUAUUGGGCGUAAAGAGCUCGUAGGCGGCUUGUCACGUCGGUUGUGAAAGCCCGGGGCUUAACCCCGGGUCUGCAGUCGAUACGGGCAGGCUAGAGUUCGGUAGGGGAGAUCGGAAUUCCUGGUGUAGCGGUGAAAUGCGCAGAUAUCAGGAGGAACACCGGUGGCGAAGGCGGAUCUCUGGGCCGAUACUGACGCUGANGAGCGAAAGCGUGGGGAGCGAAC